AACGAACGCUGGCGGCAUGCCUAACACAUGCAAGUCGAACGCGACCUUCGGGUCUAGUGGCGCACGGGUGCGUAACGCGUUGGAACCUGCCCUUAGGUUCGGCCUAACUCCCCGCAAGGGGUGCUAAUACCGGCUAAUGUCUUCGGACCAAAGAUUUAUCGCCUUUGGAUGGGCCCGCGUUGGAUUAGCUAGUUGGUAGGGUAAAAGCCUACCAAGGCGACGAUCCAUAGCUGGUCUGAGAGGAUGAGCAGCCACACUGGGACUGAGACACGGCCCAGACUCCUACGUGAGGCAGCAGUGGGGAAUAGGGGACAAUGGGCGAAAGCCUGAGGCAGCAAUGCCGCGUGAGUGAUGAAGGGCUUAGGGUUGUAAAGCACUUUUACCCGGGAUGAUAAUGACAGUACCGGGAGAAUAAGCGCCGGCUAACUCCGUG
rnacentral:rRNA from 1 species